rnacentral:rRNA from 1 species
GACGAACGCUGGCGGCGUGCCUAAUACAUGCAAGUCGAACGAAGCUGUUUUAACUGGUGCUUGCACCGACUUAAACAACUGAGUGGCGAACGGGUGAGUAACACGUGGGUAACCUGCCCCAAAGCGGGGGAUAACAUUUGGAAACAGAUGCUAAUACCGCAUAACCACAGAAACCACAUGGUUUCUGUGUCAAAGAUGGUUUCGGCUAUCACUUUGGGAUGGACCCGCGGCGUAUUAGCUAGUUGGUAAGGUAAUGGCUUACCAAGGCAAUGAUACGUAGCCGAAGUGAGAGGUUGAUCGGCCACAUUGGGACUGAGACACGGCCCAAACUCCUACGGGAGGCAGCAGUAGGGAAUCUUCACAAUGGACGAAAGUCUGAUGGAGCAACGCCGCGUGAGUGAAGAAGGUUUUCGGAUCGUAAAACUCUGUUGUCAGAGAAGAACGUGUGCGAGAGUAACUGCUCGUGCAGUGACGGUAUCUGGCCAGAAAGCCACGGCUAACUACGUGCCAGCCGCCGCAGUAA